rfam:Aspergillus brasiliensis CBS 101740 unplaced genomic scaffold ASPBRscaffold_93, whole genome shotgun sequence.
GGGUUAAUAACUUAAUAGGUAAAGUGUUUUGCUGUCAAUAAAAAAGAUGUCGGUUCAAGUCCGACUUAGCCCG